GGGUACGGCCCACCUAACCGACGAUGCGUAGGGGUUCUGAGAGGAAGGUCCCCCACACUGGUACUGAGACACGGACCAGACUCCUACGGGAGGCAGCAG
rnacentral:rRNA from 1 species